rnacentral:ncRNA from 1 species
UAACUGAAUAUCUGCUCCCGCUAACCAAGACCUAUGGGAGGAUAAAUUACGUCUUUUUAUCCAGUAGUGAGGGAUUACUGGAAAUAAGUUUCGCU